CGCGUAGGUGGUUCUGUAUGUCUACCGUGAAAGCGUACGGCUCAACCGUAUUUUGUCGGUAGAAACUGCAGGACUUGAGGCUGGGAGGGGCUGGUGGAAUUCCCUGUGUAGCGGUGAAAUGCGUAGAGAUGGGGGAGAACACUCGUGGCGAAGGCGGCCAGCUAGACCAGUUCUGACACUGAGGCGCGACAGCGUGGGGAGCAAACA
rnacentral:rRNA from 1 species